GAUGAAGAACGUAGCGAAAUGCGAUAAGUAGUGUGAAUUGCAGAAUUCAGUGAAUCAUCGAAUCUUUGAACGCACAUUGCGCCCUUUGGUAUUCCAUGGGGCAUGCCUGUUCGAGCGUCAUUUGUACCUUCAAGCUCUGCUUGGUGUUGGGUGUUUGUCUCGCCUUUGCGUGUAGACUCGCCUCAAAACAAUUGGCAGCCGGCGUAUUGAUUUCGGAGCGCAGUACAUCUCGCGCUUUGCACUCAUAACGACGACGUCCAAAAAGUACAUUUUUACACUCUUGACCUCGGAUCAGGUAGGGAUACCCGCUGAACUUAAGCAUAUCAAUAAGCGGAGGA
rnacentral:misc_RNA from 1 species